CCAGGGGGCAGGGCUGAGUGAGGGGAGCAGACUGAGUCUUCUUGCUCUGAAAGCCCUGAGGCUAAAGACCAGGGACAGAAAUGCAGAGGUGAAGAAAUGUGGAAGUCUCUUCUAGGUAAUUGUUCAGACUGACAUUUGACAAGCUCUAUGAGGAGCAUCUCAAAAGGAGGCCUUGGGACAGCACUACAGGAACGUGCAGAGCGUACAAUUGUGCAUGAUGAAGUGGCUGUGAAAUGAAUUAGCUGUAGCCCUGCAGCAUGCCGUGAGAGACUCUACAAGCCAGAUGUUUUGCCAGCAAAGAGGGAUCUUAGGAUUUUGGACUCAGUCAGAGCAGCUACAAGAGUCACAGUUGGAAAAUCUCACCAGGUCAAUCUG